AUUAAUGGCCGAUAGGAAGUGAACAGACUCUGCAAUGCAGCUGCUGGGCUUUGUCCCUGUUCUGUAUGGAAGCGAAGCACGCAAAAUCCGGACAGGAGGUUGCACUUCAGGGGAUUGCCUGUAUGAUGUCACACCCCCGUGUCAUCCUUGUCCUCUGUCCCUGGCUGCGGCUGAGGCAGGCCCAGGUGUCGCGUGCUGUUUGUAGUUACAGCAGCCAGAUGGUAGCGCAUCUGUGGAGGCGGUGAAGCGAUGGCCGUCGGCUCCAGGAAGCCGAUGAGGGAUGUGUGGGAUUGGGAGAUUAGGCGUGCUCCUCCCUCACCAUGGAACAUUCUCCAAAGGGGACUCAAACCUGAUCAUCUCUCCACUUUGGAGGGACUUAAAAAGCCUGUAUUAUAAGUCUGUGGUUUAUUGUUAAUGUGUUUUGUGUUAGAGAUCAUAUUAUUCCUGAGACUUUGGUGCACAUUUACAGUGGAAAUGAAAAUG